GGCAACAAGUUUAUGACUUCAACGUAAAGUCAAAUGGAAGGAGAAGCUCAGGGACAUGAACGAAAGCUCUUACUCAAAUCAGAAACAGCUGACAGAAUAACAGAGAAAUGGCCAAGAAGGAAAGGCAAGAUCAUCCAGGAGGGGAAGAGAGAGAAAUAAAGAGACAAGAGAGAGGAAAAGAGGAAGGGAGGAAGAAGGAGGAGAAGAGGGAG